rnacentral:ncRNA from 1 species
CUACGGACUUGAUUGUAUUGAGACUUGGUAUGGAAACUUGCUAAGUGGUAACUUCCAAAUUCAGAGAAACCCUAGAACUAAAAAGGGCAAUCCUGAGCCAAAUCUGUGUUUUGAGAAAACAAGGGGUUCUCGAACUAGAAUACAAAGGGAAAGGAUAGGUGCAGAGACUCAAUGGAAGUUGUUCUAACGAAUCGAGUUAAUUACGUUGUGUUGUUAGUGGAAUUCCUUCUAAUUCUAAAUUAGAGAAAGAGGG